AACGAGCGCUGGCGGCAGGCUUAACACAUGCAAGUCGAACGCCCCGCAAGGGGAGUGGCAGACGGGUGAGUAACGCGUGGGAACAUACCCUUUUCUACGGAAUAGCUCUGGGAAACUGGAAUUAAUACCGUAUACGCCCUACGGGGGAAAGAUUUAUCGGGGAAGGAUUGGCCCGCGUUGGAUUAGCUAGUUGGUGGGGUAAAGGCCUACCAAGGCGACGAUCCAUAGCUGGUCUGAGAGGAUGAUCAGCCACAUUGGGACUGAGACACGGCCCAAACUCCUACGGGAGGCAGCAGUGGGGAAUAUUGGACAAUGGGCGCAAGCCUGAUCCAGCCAUGCCGCGUGAGUGAUGAAGGCCUUAGGGUUGUAAAGCUCUUUCACCGAUGAAGAUAAUGACGGUAGUCGGAGAAGAAGCCCCGGCUAACUUCGUG
rnacentral:rRNA from 1 species